rnacentral:rRNA from 1 species
AAUGAACGCUUUUGGAGAAGAGUUGCUGCUGGCUGUAACAGGCAUGUGCACACUCUUUUCUGAAUCCCUCUUCAUCCACCUGUGCACUUUUGUAUAGGAGUCUUUUUAGGUUUUAUGCGGACUUUGUAGAGCUAAGGCUUUGCAAGUGAAGGUCAAGCCUCUAGAACUGGGAAAGCUUCUGUAUUUUUAUAUACCCUAAUGUAUGUCUAGAAUGUCUUUUUAUUGGGGCUUAAGUGACCCUUUAAAAUUUGUACAACUUUCAGCAACGGAUCUCUUGGCUCUCCCAUCGAUGAAGAACGCAGCGAAUUGCGAUAUCUAAUGUGAAUUGCAGAAUUCAGUGAAUCAUCGAGUCUUUGAACGCACCUUGCGCCCUCUGGUAUUCCGGAGGGCAUGCCUGUUUGAGUGUCAUUAAAUUCUCAACCUUAUAAAGCUUGUCUUUGUGAGGCUUGGAUGUGGGGGUUUGCUGGUGUCUUUUAAAGACGUUUCCGGCUCCUCUGAAAUUCAUUAGUUGGUUUUGUCCUUUUUUCUUAACCAAACCUUGGUGUGAUAAUUAUCUACGCCUUGGUGUUAAUUGGUUCAAGAGUUUUGGGUAGUGCAUUAGUUUGUCUCUACCUGCUUGUUUAGAGUUUUGCAUUCAUUUGCUUUACUUGGUCUAUCAAGAGUUUUGCAUUAGGUUGCUUUACUUGGAUAGGAAAGCCUAUCGAGUGGCAGUUGCAUUAAGUUGCUCUGUCUGGAUAGCAAGGACAUGUAU